rnacentral:sRNA from 12 species
GAAACGCGAACCAAGCAGACGCGGAAAGCGUCGUGAGACUUGGAGCUGACCUCGGUAACGAGGUCAUGUG